CCUACGGGGUGCAGCAGUGGGGGAUAUUGCACAAUGGGGGCAACCCUGCUGCAGCGACGCCGCGUGAGCGAUGGAGUACUUCGGUAUGUAAAGCUCUUUCAGCAGGGAAGACAAUUACGGUACCUGACCAAGAAGCCCCGGCUAAAUACGUGCCAGCAGCCGCGGUAAUCCGUAUGGGGCAAGCGUUAUCCAGAUUUACUGGGUGUAAAGGGAGCGUAGGCGGCAGGGCAAGCCUGAUGUGAAUGCCCGGGGCUCAACCCCUGGACUGCAUUGGGAACUGCCCCGCUCGAGUGCCGUAGGGGCAGGCGGAAUUCCUAGGGUAGCGGUGAAAUGCGUAGAUAUUAGGAGGAACACCAGUGGCGAAGGCGGCCUGCUGGACGGUGUACUGACGCUGAGGCUCGAAAGCGUGGGGAGCAAACAGGAUUAGAUACCCGGGUAGUC
rnacentral:rRNA from 1 species